ensembl:lncRNA
AAAAUGUUACUGUUGUUGUAUUAUUAGACUUGCUAUUGCUACGGCUGUUCCUACUAUUUCAAUGAAUAUUGUUCUUCCUACUACUACCUACUACGACGACGACGACGACGACGACGACGACGACGACGACGACGACUACACUACUUGUACUGAUAUUAGGAAAAGGAAAGAAAGAAGGAGGAAGUCCAAGGCAGGUCAACUGGGCCCCAGAGGACAAAGCAAACCUGACUCUGCUCAGAUUGCUCAGAUACUCAAGCCCCCAAUGACAGCAGAGUUGAGCUGCUUGGGCCCCUGCUUUGGGUUCACCUUCUGCCUUCCAACUCUGGGAACUCCCCUCCUGGAAUCAGCAGUUAGAUUUAUUUGGCCCUUGAGGAGAAAGCAACAGAGAGUCUGCUGACAUCUCUAUGCUAGAACUUCAACCACCAACCUGGAGAGUGAGUCCUUCAGAAGUAUCUACACCCACCUUCAGACCCAUCAGAGUAUCAGACUCUUGCACCCACCAGAAAAGAACCUUGGAUCCAUACACACCAGGAGAGGAAGAGACCCAACCUGUACCUGCUGGAAGAAGAGACAGAAAGAAAACACUGUAAGAACAUAUCCAACAAGAGAAAAACCAAUAUGAUGCCACCAGCCAGACCUGAAUAUCCCAACACAGAUGAAGCAGAAGAGAGCUACUUUAAACAACUUCAUUCAGAUGAGAAAAUCCUUCAGAGUAAUGGAAGAAAAGACAAACAAAAAGAAGUAAGAAGUCCACAAUUCUUUUAAGGAAAGCAAAGAAAAUACAAUCAAACACCUGAAGGAAACAAUUAAGGAAGUUCAAGAACUGAAAUUGAUACAAUAAAGAAUAUAUAAACUGAGAGAGUGCUGAGAGUGGAAAAACUGAGUAGACAAUCAGGAACCACAGAUGCAAGCAUAACCACAGAAUACAAGAGAUGAAAGACAGAAUCUCAGACACUGAAGAUAAACUACAGUAAAUAAAUUCAUCAAGCAAAGAAAAUCUUAAGUCCAAUAAUUCCUUAACACAAAAUAUCCAGGAAGUAUGGGACAUCAUGAAAAAGGCCAAACCUAAAAAUAAUUGGUAUAGAAGAAGGUAAAGAAACAGAACUCAAAGGUGCAGAAAACAUAUUCAACAAAAUCAUAGAAGAAAACUUUCUAAACCUAAAGAAAGUCUUGCCAAUGAAAGUACAAGAAGCCUACAGAACACCAAAUAGAGUGGACCACAAAAGAAAAUCCCCUCUUCACAUAAUAAUUAUAACAUCAAACAUCAAAAUAAAGAAAGAAUAUUAAGAGCAGCAAAAGAAAAAGGCCAAGUAACAUAUAAAGGCAAACCUAUCAGAAUUAAACCGGACUUCUCCAUGGAAACUCUGAAAGCCAGAAGGACCUGGUAGAUAUUGUACCAACUGUAAGAAAACAUGGAUGCUAGCCCCAACUACAAUACCUAGCAAAGCUUUCAAUCAUUAUAAAUGGAGAAAACAAGAUAUUCCAUGACAAAACCUGAUUUAAUCAAUAUGUAACCACUAACCCAGCCCUACAGAAAGUACUGGAAGGAAAAUUCCAACCUAAAGAAAUUAAAUACACUCACAAAAAUAUGGGCAAUAGACAAUCCCACUUUACCAAAACCCAAAAGAAAAAGCAGGGUAAAUCCACAUAUAAUACCACUACCAACAACAAAUCAAGAACAAACAAGAAUAAGCACUCAAUGGUCCCUAAUUUCUCUCAGCUUUAACGGUUUUAACUCACUUAUAAAAAGACACAG